rnacentral:rRNA from 1 species
AAAGCGAUGAAGGACGUGGCCAGCUGCGAUAAGCUCGGACGAGACGCUUACAGUUUUUGACUCCGAGAUCUCCGAAUGGGGAAACCCAGCAGAGGUAACGCUCUGUUAUCCGUGACUGAAUUCAUAGGUUGCGGAAGCGAACGCGGGGAACUGAAACAUCUUAGUACCCGCAGGAAAAGAAAUCAACCGAGAUUCCGUUAGUAGUGGCGAGCGAACGCGGAUUAGCCCAAACCGACGCUUUUUAGCGGCGGGGUUAGAGGGGCCUCAUAAAGGUAUAAUAAUCUUAGACGAACGGCUUGGAAAAGUCGGCCAUAGAAGGUAAUAGCCCUGUAUUUUAAAAGGUUGUUAUACCGAGAGGAUUCCCUGAGUAGGACGGGACACGAGAAAUCCUGUUUGAAUUCGGGUGGACCAUCAUCCAAGGCUAAAUAUUCUCUGGAGACCGAUAGUGAACCAGUACCGUGAGGGAAAGGCGAAAAGAACCUCAAGAAGAGGAGUGAAAUAGAUCCUGAAACCUUACGCCUAAAAGCAGUGGGAGCCCUACGUUUGAAGCUUGCUUCAAAAACGGGUGACCGCGUGCCUUUUGCAUAAUGAGCCAACGAGUUA